UUCAGUGUUUUGCUCUACUGUGAGAACUGUGCUCUGCCACAAAUGCUGAAGCAGCAAAGUCCUUUGCUGGAGUAUCAGGCGCCUCACCACACCAUUUGACCGGAGAAGAGCCUAAAUCUAGGGAAGUAAUGCUGGGAGUUAAAAAACAACUUUUAAAAAUGCCCAUUCCAAUCAGAAGAUAAAAAGAAGUGACAACAGCUUCGCCUGGAGCCUGCUCACUCACUAGCCAAAAGAUCUAUAAAUCUUCAGCCAAGCAACAGCCUCUUACACAAAAGAGUGUCAGUGAAAUGAAAGACUCUUGUACUACUAGUGAACAUUACCAUAUAGUAUCGGAUGUGGCAGUACUACAUGAUGCCUUUAGUCAGCUGAAGGCCCAACCCACCUGCUUGGCUCUGUGUGUUACCGCCCUCCAUGCCUGCAGGCAGUGGAGGAUCAGCCAGGAUCUUCACGGUGGCGCUGAUACACAUUUUCAGGUUUGAUAAAAAGCCCUGUGUGAUGUACUGCGGGGGAGACAGUCACUUCACAGCACCAGCGAACGCACUUUAGAUCAAGCUGGAGUAGUUCCUGCCUUCCGCUCUGGAAGCCCCAUGUGUAUUGUUCAAGAUGGCAGCUAUCACAAGAGCCCAAGUGUGACCUUGUUGCAGAGCAGAAGAGAAGAAAUAUGGACUCAGGUUUGUCUAAGUGCCAAAUUCGGGGGGGGGUUGCCCAUUUUUCACCUUUUUCUUUCUCAUUCUCUUUUCGUUUUUGAGCUCGUCGAGGGAAAGAGGGAAGAAAGAGGCAUCAAUGCCACUCCACAGGGUGGUGAGUGUGUAAAUAUCUGUGUUCUUCCCUCUACUCCUUGCAUCCCAGGGUGAGAAGAGAAGGAAUCUUUGAAACAUUUAUGCACAAUCCAAUUCCCACUGGCAUCAAGGGAAGUUUGACUAUUGACUUCAAUUAGGAGCUCGGAUCAGAUCCAUUCUUACCAAAUGCCUUUCCAGUAUGAAGCCAUUAUAUAUUUUAAAAGAUGUUACUAAAUAACAUUUAUAAAUAAAUCUUCAUGUGUACAAAAUCAUCAUGCUUAGAAUAUAUGUUGUAAUAAGCUCUGAUCCAGCAAAACACUUAAGCAGAUUAAUAGUCCCAUUGAAUACAACUGGACUACUCAGAAGCUUAAUUUUUAAGAAUGUGCAAUGCACUUAGGUGCAGAAAGUUAAGUACAUAAUGGCUUGAUUCUUCACUCAGAGGCAUUUUAUACUUAAUUGGAGUUGGACUUUGUCAGCAUUAUUCCUGAUUUAUAGUGGAGUAAGUGAGAAAAGACUCUGGACUGGCAAGUGAUGAAGCGCAUUGGAACAAUUGGAAAGAAGCUUGGUGCAUCAUGUCUCUCCUGUACUGCCAUUCCUCUUUGUUCCUCAGCCACUCUGCAGUCUUUCAUUGCAGUGGGAGUUAGGAUCCUAAAUACCUUUUGUGGAUCUGAGCCUCAGAGACUCCAUGUGUCCAUGGAAAAACAAUCCUGUGGUUUCCCAUUUAUUAUAUGCAGGUAUUUGAUUAGGAAAGGUACCAUUUUCCCUAGUGUGGCUCCAGAAUGCAAGAGCCUUCUAGUCACUUAAGCACCACCAUAGGGCAGAACAGCUGAGUGGGAUGUCUGGGAGGGGCGUCUAUAUUUGUCUUUAAGGGUGGUCAUGGGACCGGACUGUAAACAGGAUCCUUGAUUAUGCAAGUAGCCUAGAAGGGCUGAACUCACUGUUAGAACUGUAGACCCUGAGUAGGAGGGUGGAUUUGGCUUCCCCAUCCUCCCCAUGUUUUACUUGCACAGUGCCUGAUUAUCAGGUUUUAUGCAGCGAAGUGAAUUUCAUCCUGAAUUAUAGACUCCAUCCUUUGUUUCACUCCUGCAAAACUGCAAAAAUGAUUUGCAUUAAACACCAUUGAGAAAUCUCUAGCACAAAACUCAUCUCCCAACAGCAAGAAGCUGUUGUUAUUUUACCUUCUAGCAACAUGUAAUACGGUGAAAGAAAUGUGGCUAAUGAAAAAAAGGAAGCGUGGUUUGUCUCUGUGUGUGGUUUGUCUUUCUAUAUGACUGCCUUGAACUGCUGAAACAUUUGAAGCUUUGGGCCCAAUUCAGAUCUGAUGUAAGUGGUUGUAGUUCCAGAGCCUCCUCUGUGCUGAGGUUGGCCCUUUGUUUUUACUGUAGCCCAUUUUUAUGUGCGUGCUUUAUAAUUAGACUUAGAUGUUGAAAAUAAUUCACUUGCUGCAUUUAGCUGCUUUUUCCAUCUGUGAAUUAUCCACAAAUAGUUCAUGGUUUGUCUGAAUGUCUCCAUUAUUCCCAAUUGUUUGAAUAUUUUCAUAAAUAAAUUAGAACUUAUGGCUUUUUUGUGAAUUGAUCUUAUUUUGAGGACCCAAGUAGUGCAUAGACCAUGUGCUAGCAUUCUGCACCGGAGUGAAUUUCACUCACAAUGCAGGCCUAUUUUACAGCUACCUCAAUUCCUGUCUCAUUCCCUUGAAUAGAGUGGAGAGUUAAUCAACACCCCGGUGAUGCUGUUGAAUGAAUUUUGCACAAAACAUUAUGGAGACUUUUACAUUUCUGGUCAUUUCUGAGUAGUAAAACUGCAGACUAGACGCAUUCUUGUUGCUUCUACAUUUUGUAAGUACCGCAGGGAAAAGCCACAUACAUUAAAGUAAAUGUUCUGCAAGAAAGAGCUUUUAAUUUCUAUACACAUUUUGCAAAAUCAGAAAGAAAAGUCCUGAUUCACCACCUUGUGCUUGGCUGAUGAUUUCAAUGGAGCUAUAUCAAUGUCCAUCUGGAGUAGCAUAGCAGUGAAUCAGACUCAUUGACUCUAUAAUUCAUUACCUAAAACAGGUAUAAUACUAUGUGUCAAAUGCUGUUGUUUUACAAAUAUUUCAUGCACUAUGCUCUGUUCUGGCGUCUCAGAUCUUCAGCACAAAAGGACAGAAUGGCUCCAGAAUUCAAAUAGGCUGACUGCCAUUUCAGUCAGUGGGACUACUUGUGUCAGUAAAGUGAGCUGGGCUUUGGUCUCAUAGAGUUAGACAAAUUGCUGUUGAUAACAGUUACUACAGACAAAGUCAGGACAAAUGGUUACACUUUUUAUUGCUCACAUUUUUGUUACCUGUUGCUGCAGCACAGACGUAGUGGGUUCUCUUACUCUGUUGUCACUAGUCAAGUGCAAACCAUGCCCUGGGCAGAUGGGACACAGGCAAAAUUAUCUUUGCAUUUACAAUGAGGGGAGCGGAGGAGGCAAAACACAGCAAUCUUUGUAUGGCAUGGAGAAACUGUAGAUGUGUCUUAGGAGUACACCUACUUUAACUAUGUAUGCUCUCAUCUGUAUACUCUGAAAGCUCUUAAAGCCACCAAAGGGACUACUAUUUUUCUUGCUGUUAUGAAGGCAUAAUUCUGGUUGUUAGGGCAAGUGACCCAAUUUAGCAGUUGGCCCUUCACUCAGUCUUCACAGUACUGUGGUAGAACUUUUGACAGCAAAUCAUUGUGUUACAACUAGUUACUGGAAUCAAUCAGCAUGAUUUCGCUCAGGCUGAUCAUUUAAAGGAGAUUAUGAAAUCAUCAAUCAUCACAAGCAGCCAACUAACAGGUUGCAAAAAAUGACAGCAGGUUUAAAUCCCUUGGAGCUCCAUCCAUUUACACCAGCUGAGGAUCUGGUCCAACACGUAUAUUUUUUACAUCUCACUCACAAAGCACUUAAUGUGUCUUAUUAAAAUAUAAAGCCUAGUUGUACUGCAGUGGACCAUGGCACAUGCAGGAAAUAUUUCCCGUUUUGGGGGAUUUACUGACAAACUAUAAAGGGCAGAAACAAAGACUGUUCGCACUCGUUUAAAAAUGGUGACUGGGGCUCUUGUCCAGCAUGCACUGAAAUGAAUGGGAUUAGAGAAUGAGGCCCUGUAAAUGUGGCGUGUUACUAGCAAUUCAGAAAACAAUGUUGAUUUGUUUAAAAUCAUCAAGAGAGGAACCAUCCAGAGAGGAAGGAUGCCCAGAACUUGAGAAUUCCUUGCUCUGCCACAGA